GGGUUGUGAGGUUAAGCGACUAAGCGUACACGGUGGAUGCCCUGGCAGUCAGAGGCGAUGAAGGACGUGCUAAUCUGCGAUAAGCGUCGGUAAGGUGAUAUGAACCGUUAUAACCGGCGAUUUCCGAAUGGGGAAACCAAACAUCUAAGUACCCCGAGGAAAAGAAAUCAACCGAGAUUCCCCCAGUAGCGGCGAGCGAACGGGGAGCAGCCCAGAGCCUGAAUCAGUGUGUGUGUUAGUGGAAGCGUCUGGAAAGGCGCGCGAUACAGGGUGACAGCCCCGUACACAAAAAUGCACAUGCUGUGAGCUCGAUGAGUAGGGCGGGACACGUGGUAUCCUGUCUGAAUAUGGGGGGACCAUCCUCCAAGGCUAAAUACUCCUGACUGACCGAUAGUGAACCAGUACCGUGAGGGAAAGGCGAAAAGAACCCCGGCGAGGGGAGUGAAAAAGAACCUGAAACCGUGUACGUACAAGCAGUGGGAGCACGCUUAGGCGUGUGACUGCGUACCUUUUGUAUAAUGGGUCAGCGACUUAUAUUCUGUAGCAAGGUUAACCGAAUAGGGGAGCCGAAGGGAAACCGAGUCUUAACUGGGCGUUAAGUUGCAGGGUAUAGACCCGAAACCCGGUGAUCUAGCCAUGGGCAGGUUGAAGGUUGGGUAACACUAACUGGAGGACCGAACCGACUAAUGUUGAAAAAUUAGCGGAUGACUUGUGGCUGGGGGUGAAAGGCCAAUCAAACCGGGAGAUAGCUGGUUCUCCCCGAAAGCUAUUUAGGUAGCGCCUCGUGAAUUCAUCUCCGGGGGUAGAGCACUGUUUCGGCAAGGGGGUCAUCCCGACUUACCAACCCGAUGCAAACUGCGAAUACCGGAGAAUGUUAUCACGGGAGACACACGGCGGGUGCUAACGUCCGUCGUGAAGAGGGAAACAACCCAGACCGCCAGCUAAGGUCCCAAAGUCAUGGUUAAGUGGGAAACGAUGUGGGAAGGCCCAGACAGCCAGGAUGUUGGCUUAGAAGCAGCCAUCAUUUAAAGAAAGCGUAAUAGCUCACUGGUCGAGUCGGCCUGCGCGGAAGAUGUAACGGGGCUAAACCAUGCACCGAAGCUGCGGCAGCGACGCUKAUGCGUUGUUGGGUAGGGGAGCGUUCUGUAAGCCUGYGAAGGUGUGCUGUGAGGCAYGCUGGAGGUAUCAGAAGUGCGAAUGCUGACAUAAGUAACGAUAAAGCGGGUGAAAAGCCCGCUCGCCGGAAGACCAAGGGUUCCUGUCCAACGUUAAUCGGGGCAGGGUGAGUCGACCCCUAAGGCGAGGCCGAAAGGCGUAGUCGAUGGGAAACAGGUUAAUAUUCCUGUACUUGGUGUUACUGCGAAGGGGGGACGGAGAAGGCUAUGUUGGCCGGGCGACGGUUGUCCCGGUUUAAGCGUGUAGGCUGGUUUUCCAGGCAAAUCCGGAAAAUCAAGGCUGAGGCGUGAUGACGAGGCACUACGGUGCUGAAGCAACAAAUGCCCUGCUUCCAGGAAAAGCCUCUAAGCAUCAGGUAACAUCAAAUCGUACCCCAAACCGACACAGGUGGUCAGGUAGAGAAUACCAAGGCGCUUGAGAGAACUCGGGUGAAGGAACUAGGCAAAAUGGUGCCGUAACUUCGGGAGAAGGCACGCUGAUAUGUAGGUGAAGUCCCUCGCGGAUGGAGCUGAAAUCAGUCGAAGAUACCAGCUGGCUGCAACUGUUUAUUAAAAACACAGCACUGUGCAAACACGAAAGUGGACGUAUACGGUGUGACGCCUGCCCGGUGCCGGAAGGUUAAUUGAUGGGGUUAGCGCAAGCGAAGCUCUUGAUCGAAGCCCCGGUAAACGGCGGCCGUAACUAUAACGGUCCUAAGGUAGCGAAAUUCCUUGUCGGGUAAGUUCCGACCUGCACGAAUGGCGUAAUGAUGGCCAGGCUGUCUCCACCCGAGACUCAGUGAAAUUGAACUCGCUGUGAAGAUGCAGUGUACCCGCGGCAAGACGGAAAGACCCCGUGAACCUUUACUAUAGCUUGACACUGAACAUUGAGCCUUGAUGUGUAGGAUAGGUGGGAGGCUUUGAAGUGUGGACGCCAGUCUGCAUGGAGCCGACCUUGAAAUACCACCCUUUAAUGUUUGAUGUUCUAACGUKGACCCGURAUCCGGGUUGCGGACAGUGUCUGGUGGGUAGUUUGACUGGGGCGGUCUCCUCCUAAAGAGUAACGGAGGAGCACGAAGGUUGGCUAAUCCUGGUCGGACAUCAGGAGGUUAGUGCAAUGGCAUAAGCCAGCUUGACUGCGAGCGUGACGGCGCGAGCAGGUGCGAAAGCAGGUCAUAGUGAUCCGGUGGUUCUGAAUGGAAGGGCCAUCGCUCAACGGAUAAAAGGUACUCCGGGGAUAACAGGCUGAUACCGCCCAAGAGUUCAUAUCGACGGCGGUGUUUGGCACCUCGAUGUCGGCUCAUCACAUCCUGGGGCUGAAGUAGGUCCCAAGGGUAUGGCUGUUCGCCAUUUAAAGUGGUACGCGAGCUGGGUUUAGAACGUCGUGAGACAGUUCGGUCCCUAUCUGCCGUGGGCGCUGGAGAACUGAGGGGGGCUGCUCCUAGUACGAGAGGACCGGAGUGGACGCAUCACUGGUGUUCGGGUUGUCAUGCCAAUGGCACUGCCCGGUAGCUAAAUGCGGAAGAGAUAAGUGCUGAAAGCAUCUAAGCACGAAACUUGCCCCGAGAUGAGUUCUCCCUGACYCYUURAGRGUCCUGAAGGAACGUUGAAGACGACGACGUUGAUAGGCCGGGUGUGUAAGCGCAGCGAUGCGUUGAGCUAACCGGUACUAAUGAACCGUGAGGCUUAACCUUACAACGCCGAAGRUGUU
rnacentral:rRNA from 1 species